rnacentral:tRNA from 1 species
GGCAAUGUAGCUCAAUGGUAGAGCAGUGGGCUCAUAAUCCAAAGGUUGAGGGUUCAAUCCCCUCUGUUGCCA